rnacentral:rRNA from 1 species
GACGAACGCUGGCGGCGUGCUUAACACAUGCAAGUCGAGCGGUAAGGCCCUUUCGGGGGUACACGAGCGGCGAACGGGUGAGUAACACGUGGGUGACCUGCCCUCAGCUCUGGGAUAAGCCCUGGGAAACCGGGUCUAAUACCGGAUAUGACUCCAUGACGCAUGUUGUGGGGUGGAAAGCCUUGUGCGGCUGAGGAUGGGCCCGCGGCCUAUCAGCUUGUUGGUGGGGUGAUGGCCUACCAAGGCGACGACGGUAGCCGGCCUGAGAGGGCGACCGGCCACACUGGGACUGAGACACGGCCCAGACUCCUACGGGAGGCAGCAGUGGGGAAUCUUGCGCAAUGGGCGAAAGCCUGACGCAGCGACGCCGCGUGAGGGAUGACGGCCU